UACGGAGGGGGCUAGCGUUGUUCGGAAUUACUGGGCGUAAAGCGCACGUAGGCGGAUUGGAAAGUCAGAGGUGAAAUCCCAGGGCUCAACCUUGGAACUGCCUUUGAAACUCCCAGUCUUGAGUUCGAGAGAGGUGAGUGGAAUUCCGAGUGUAGAGGUGAAAUUCGUAGAUAUUCGGAAGGAACACCAGUGGCGAAGGCGGCUCACUGGCUCGAUACUGACGCUGAGGUGCGAAAGCGUGGGGAGCGAACAGGA
rnacentral:rRNA from 1 species